AACGAACGCUGGCGGCAUGCCUAACACAUGCAAGUCGAACGAGAUCUUCGGGUCUAGUGGCGCACGGGUGCGUAACGCGUGGGAAUCUGCCCUUUGGUUCGGAAUAACAGUUGGAAACGACUGCUAAUACCGGAUGAUGACGAAAGUCCUAAGAUUUAUCGCCAGAGGAUGAGCCCGCGUAGGAUUAGCUAGUUGGUGUGGUAAAGGCGCACCAAGGCGACGAUCCUUAGCUGGUCUGAGAGGAUGAUCAGCCACACUGGCACUGAGACACGGCCCUGACUCCUACGGGGGGCAGCGGUGGGGAAUAUUGGAAAAGGGGCGAAAGCCUGAUCAAGAAAUGCCGGGUAAGUGAUGAAGGCCUUAGGGUUGUAAAGCUCUUUUACCCGGGAUGAUAAUGACAGUACCGGGAGAAUAAGCUCCGGCUAACUCCGUGCCAGCCGCCGCCGUAA
rnacentral:rRNA from 1 species